CACACAUUUAGAGUCACCAAUGAACUCAUGAAGCGUGUUUUUGGACUGUGGAAGGAAAACUGAGUUCCCGGAGAACACGUGCAAACUUCACACAGAAAGCUGGGAUUCAAACCAGGGCCUUCCCACUAGUGUUAACCACUACACCACCAUGCAGCCUUUGAACUGGCAUCUAAGUGGUUAAAACUUGUUCUCAUUUUUCUUUGACUUUUCUACAAAAAGUUCAUCUACAGUCUAGAUUUCUUUGGUUUCCCUUCAAGGGAAGAAGUGUUGGAGUCCAAACAUCAAACCAGUUUUAAGAAACAAUCCUGAAUAUUCUGUUUGGUCCUAAAGCUCAUGAGAGGGACAGAAGCAGCGAACGCCUUGGAAACAGGAGACAGUUUAGGUUUUUUUGAACACAGCCAGUAGCUGCAUGUUUGGAUUAGAACUUCCUCACAUGCUCAACUUCUUUUUUUUUCCAUGUCAGCUGCACAAGUUUUAGAAUUAAAAGAAACCAUUAAAGUAAAUCAGCCCCAUGAAGAUUGAAAUUCCACUCCAGGAUCAACAGAGCUGCCCGCUAACAUCAACAUCUCCGUCUCUCCUCCAGGAGCUCCCGCCAAAGAAAAUCCCAUCGCAGUCAAAGUCCAUUCUGAGAGUUGACUUUGCACUUUACAAGUUCAGGAUCUUCAGGCUCUAAGAUUUCAGCAAAAACAAAUCCAGCCUCAAUUAUCUGUGGUGCUUCACAUCUUAAAGAGCAUCAGGAAGAAAAGGAUUUAGAGCGACCAUCUUAACCAGAAGAGUUGACAGAGACGUGUGGAAUCUGAUCCCAACCUUCAGGCCAAGACGACCACGAGAGGAGAGAUGACCUCCUGCUGCACUCUCCACCUCUGAGAGUAAUGGCUCCAAAGGUGGAAAGACAAACUGCAGCGCUGAUUACAGAGAAGGACUGUGGGGAGUUCAGACAUUAGGGCCCGUCAUCGGUCCGGAGUGAGCCUGAACAUUUCCAGUCAUCAGAACAAACAGCAGCCUCUGAUCGGUGAGUCAGUGGUGCUGAAAUUACAGAAAACAGCCCUGAAAGUUCUCCACCGAAGGCCAGAGGAUCGACAUUCCGUCCGAGGUUGUAAAGAAGAUCUUCAAAAGCAAAGACCAGCCACAAAUACAGAGUUCACGAGUCA